AAAUUUAUUGAUUUAACAAAUUUUAUGAGAGCAAAAUAAUUUUACAUAUAUUCCAACAAUAUUUUUUAACAAAUUUUUAAAUAUUUUAUUUUAAAUAAAUUUUCUAACUCAAUAUAAUCAUAAUAAAUUUAAAUAUCGAAUUAAUAUUGAUGACCCGUGCGAAUGCACGGGUCUCUAAACUAGUAGAAAAAUAAAAUUCAUACACAUAAAAAUAUAAACGUAUCUAUAGAAACAUAAACAAUAUUAAUAUUAUUGACAAAAAAAAACAAUAUUACUCUUACUAAUAUAAUUAAGUAAUGAAUAAGUAAAAAUAUAAUAAAGUUAAUUACUUUACAAACCGGUUUUGUAAGGUUGAGUUAUAACCCCAAAACUCAAUUCUAAGAUGGUAUCAGAGUCUAUCCACAAUUCGCUGGACCACUUCGUCGGGCCGCCUGCAAUCAGGUUUCUGAUUGGGCCCUCCACCAUUCAUAUCCGCGCCUCAAGCCCAUAGUGCUUGGCGCGAGCGGGAUGUUAAGAAGUCACGCAUCGGUUGUGAUAUGGCUUGAAUAAGUGUUUAUAAACUAGAGCCCAUUGAGUUAGCCUAAAACUCAAUUCUAGUUACAUGGUAGCAUAAAUACGCGCGCGCACACAUAUAUAUUAUAUUAUUGAAAAUAAAUGUACCUGGUAACUUUGAUCAAUGCUCUUUAUUUUGCACUCAUGUGUUAAC
rnacentral:lncRNA from 1 species